CAUGAGCUAGUCUCUCGUUUCAGACUGUGUUCCAAGACCUGGUGCCAGGAUUAGGUAUAACAUGUAUGAGUCCUGAUGCUGGAUGCUAGGAUUAGGUAUAACAUGUAUUAGACCAAUGCUGGAUGCCAGGAUUAGUUAUAACAUGUAUUAGUCCUGAUGCUGGAUGCCAGGAUUAGGUAUAACAUGUAUUAGACCAAUGCUGGAUGCCAGGAUUAGUUAUAACAUGUAUUAGAUCGAUGCUGGAUGCCAGGAUUAGGUAUAACAUGUAUUAGACUGAUGCUGGAUGCCAGGAUUAGGUAUAACAUGUAUUAGACCAGAUGCUGGAUGCCAGGAUUAGGUAUAACAUGUAUUAGACAGAUGCUGGAUGCCAGGAUUAGUUAUAACAUGUAUUAGACAGAUGCUGGAUGCUAGGAUUAGGUAUAACAUGUAUUAGACAGAUGCUGGAUGCCAGGAUUAGGUAUAACAUGUAUUAGACAGAUGCUGGAUGCCAGGAUUAGGUAUAACAUGUAUUAGACAGAUGCUGGAUGCCAGGAUUAGGUAUAACAUGUAUUAGACAGAUGCUGGAUGCCAGGAUUAGGUAUAAAAUGUAUUAGACUGAUGCUGGAUGCCAGGAUUCGUUUUUUACAAAUAACAUAAAAGUAUGCAAUUUUUCUGCAUCCUUGUAUCUAACUCUGCGAUAUAAUUAACCAAAAUCUACGCCCGCCUUUCCUGCGUUGCGUGACAUUCGCAGCCUACCCCACCAAUAAUUCUGCAUGUAUAAUACAGCGAAACAGUGAUUCUUUCUGUGUAUUUAGUAACACAAUGACUGCUGCCCCACCACAACACAUCAGCUUUAGGCAACAGCCUACAAGCAAAAUCUCAAUGUAGGUUAACGAGCUCCGUAGAGUUUAAAUGGACCGCUCGAUACAACACUGAUGAAUAAUAUGGACGAUACUGUGUUGUAGUCUACUUCGUAAACUAAUGCACACACUAUUCAAUUAAAUGUGGAUCGUCAGAUAGUCAUAUUUUGUAAUAUUGUUGUAUGGUGGUAUUAUACAUUUUGUAUUGUAGAUAUGUAGUGGUGUAAUAAUGUUAUAUGACGUACUGUUUUAUAUUU
rnacentral:lncRNA from 1 species